rnacentral:rRNA from 1 species
AACGAACGCUGGCGGCAUGCCUAACACAUGCAAGUCGAACGAUGCCUUCGGGCAUAGUGGCGCACGGGUGCGUAACGUGUGGGAAUCUGCCUUUCGGCUCGGAAUAAUACAGGGUAACUUGAGCUAAUACCGGAUAACGUCCCCAGAUAAAAGAUUUAACAUCGAAAGAUGAGCCCGCGUAGGAUUAGCUAGUUGGUGAGGUAAAGGCCCAUCAAGGCGACGCUCCUUAGCUGGUCUGAGAGGAUGAUCAGCCACACUGGGACUGAGACACGGCGCAGACUCCUACGGGAGGCAGCAGUGGGGAAUAUUGGACAAUGGGGGAAGGCCUGAUCCAGCAAUGCCGCGUGAGUGAUGAAGGCGUUAGAGUUGUAAAGCUCUUUUACCCGGGAAGAUAAUGACGGUACCGGAAGAAUAAGCCCCGGCUAACUCCGUG